AAUAGAUACCCGGGUAGUCCACGCCCUAAACGAUGCAUAUUUGGUGUAGGUCAUUCAGUUGAUCUGUGCCGGAGCUAACGCGUUAAAUAUGCCGCCUGGGGAGUACAGUCGCAAGGCUGAAACUCAAAGGAAUUGACGGGGGCCCGCACAAGCGGUGGAGCAUGUGGUUCAAUUCGACGCAACGCGAAGAACCUUACCUGGGCUCGAACGGCUGGUCAACGAUCGUGGAAACACGGUUACUCCGCAAGGAGGUCCAGUCGAGGUGCUGCAUGGCUGUCGUCAGCUCGUGUCGUGAGAUGUUGGGUUAAGUCCCGCAACGAGCGCAACCCUUGUCCUGUGUUGCCAUCCCGCAAGGGGGGACUCGCAGGAGACCGCCAGCGAUAAGCUGGAGGAAGUGGGGAUGACGUCAAGUCCUCAUGGCCUUUAUGUCCAGGGCUACACACGUGCUACAAUGGCCGGUACAAAGCGCAGCUAAGUCGCGAGACGGAGCCAAUCGCAAAAAACCGGUCUCAGUUCGGAUUGCG
rnacentral:rRNA from 1 species